rnacentral:rRNA from 16 species
GGAUGGGAUCAUACCAGCACUAAAGCACCGGAUCCCAUCAGAACUCCGAAGUUAAGCGUGCUUGGGCGAGAGUAGUACUAGGAUGGGUGACCUCCUGGGAAGUCCUUGUGUUGCAUCCC